GUUGCACUUAGAUAAAAUGAGAUUAACAUCAUUACAAAAAUAUUUCCCUUUGACCUCCUUUUCUUUAUGCAGUGCGGAGUACAGUGCCUUCAUCACUGAGGGAAAGUGAGGGCAGAUGUCAGGAGACAGAGAGCAGCACUCAAGAGAGUGAAAGUCAGGGCCAGGCAGGGGACCCGAGACAAGUGUUUCCUUAUAAUGUGGCAGAAUUUGUCCCUGUUUAUCUGGAAGAAGAUGAGGCUCUUGAAGAGGCAAUUCAGCGUAGUCUACUAGAAGAGUGUGAUGGACCUGCUGUUAAUACUUUAAAGUCAUCUGAAAUGCUGAGCAAAGAAGAAAUUGCAGGCCUUCUACAAGCUCACAGUGA